UUUCCUAAUUCUAGAAUCCUUAGACUUAAUUUCUGAUUUCCUAAUUAGCCUAGGGUUUUUAAUUUCCUAAUCCCUUUAAAUAAACAUGUUUGUGCAGCCACAAAGAUAGCCAUUCAUCCAGAAAAUAAUCCUUCACGCCAGAAACCAUUCUCCAUCUUCAACAGCCCCAUUCCUUCACCAUUCACCCAAAUUUCUGCCACAAAACCACCCUAGCCGCACCACCCAUCAACCCUAAACACUUCCAUACAUCCUCCAUCCAUUCUACAUCAUUCAAAUACCCAAGAAUAUCUCCAUUCAGUCCCAUUCACGCCAGAAACAUCACCACUCUCUCUGCCGCACCUAUCCUUCACCAUUCACCAUAUUUUCUGACCCAAAACCACCCUAGCCGUCCCAUACACCUAUCACAGCCAUAAACCCAUCGUUCUACACCAUCCAUAACCCCCCCAAAACUCACCCAUUCGUGUACUGCAGCAAGGAGAAAGAAGGAAGGACUCUUGGAUGCUCAAGCUUCAUCGUUGGUGCAUUCUAGGUGUAAUUCGUUUUA
rnacentral:lncRNA from 1 species